rnacentral:misc_RNA from 1 species
GAUGAAGAACGCAGCGAAAUGCGAUAAGUAAUGCGAAUUGCAGAAUUCCAGUGAGUCAUCGAAUCUUUGAACGCACAUUGCGCCCGCCAGUAUUCUGGCGGGCAUGCCUGUUCGAGCGUCAUUUCAACCAUCAAGCCCUGCUUGCGUUGGGGUCCUGCGGCUGCCCGCAGGCCCUGAAAACCAGUGGCGGGCUCGCUAGUCACACCGAGCGCAGUAAUACAUCUCGCUUUGGGCGUGCGGCGGGUUCUUGCCGUUAAACACCCCCUUUUUACCAAGGUUGACCUCGGAUCAGGUAGGAAUACCCGCUGAACUUAAGCAUAUCAAUAAGCGGAGGA